UACGUAGGUGGCAAGCGUUUGUCCGGAUUUACUGGGCGUAAAGAGCGCGCAGGCGGUCGGAUAAGUCGAAUGUGAAAGCCCCCGGCUCAACUGGGGAGGGUCAUUCGAUACUGUUCGACUCGAAGGCAGGAGAGGGAAGUGGAAUUCCCGGUGUAGUGGUGAAAUGCGUAGAUAUCGGGAGGAACACCAGUGGCGAAGGCGGCUCCUGGACCAAUACUGACGCUGAGGUGCGAAAGCGUGGGGAGCAAACAGGAUUGAGAUACCC
rnacentral:rRNA from 1 species